UACAGGGGGUGCAAACGUUGCUCGGAAUUAUUGGGCGUAAAGAGCGUGUAGGCGGCCUGGUAGGUCAGCUGUGAAAACUCGAGGCUCAACCUCGAGACGCCGGUUGAAACCAUCAGGCUAGAGUCCGGAAGAGGAGAGUGGAAUUCCCGGUGUAGCGGUGAAAUGCGCAGAUAUCGGGAAGAACACCCGUGGCUAAGGCGGCUCUCUAGUACGGUACUGACGCUGAGACGCGAAAGCGUGGGGGGCGAACAGG
rnacentral:rRNA from 1 species